GUUACGUUUCUCAUGAGCAUUAUGUGCUGAUGUCCUGACGUCAGACUGGGCUGUACUGGACGACAUGAUCCUUGAGCCAAGGCCAAGCCAUAUGGGUGAAUUGUGUAUGGACGCCUGUCCUCAUUGGAAAAGAUUCAGACACAGACGCACGCAGCAGGAAAGAUGCAGAAGUGCAAGAAGUCAGAGAUCUGUCCUCAAGCCAAAAGGAGCUUGCUCUUACAAAAACAAAAACAACACAAGGAAACAAAACCGGCUCCUCGGACAGCUGCAUCUUGAUUCCGGCAUCCGGAGUUGUGAGUUCGGAAAUGUCUCGUAUGUAAGCUAUCAGCUGUAGCACUUUGUCAUGGCAGCUGAGCAAACACUUAAGAGUCCCCCGAGCGGCACUGAAAUGGGGAAGCCGGACUAUGUAAGCCCCAUGGCUCAUCUUCACCACUGAUACUGUAAACCUUAGCUUGCUAUGGAGAGCGCUCCUUGUUGAAGUCUCCCUCCGCCUUGUUUCUACUUAUUGACAGACUCUGAAGUGAUUGCUUUCGGACUCCUUCACAGUUUCCUGGCUGCCUCGUUAUUUUUCAGUUUGAAAAUUGAAGCGGACCAAGUCAAACUCAGUCAACCCAGUCGCCCUCCAGCCGCCAUUGAAAGGGGACGUGGACGCGCAGCUAUAACUAAAUGCUGCCACCUAGAGGACAGCGUGGGUAUACCGCCUCCUCUCCAGCUGGUAUUCUCAGGACUUCUGGAACCCAGAUUGAACUGUGCUGGGUGGAAGCUGCAACCUGUGUUCAUUAACGUCCUUGUGGUGCCAAUUUGCGCAACCAAUAUUUUUCUUUACUCUGUACUUUAAAAGGGUUUCCUCUUCUAAAUGAACUGUAGGGGGUUUGUGAUCACACGGGGAUGGGGUGUGGGUGGGAGACUGAACGAAGUGGUUCUGCUUGAUGUCCUUAAAAUUGUAUAGAAAGGUAAAGGGAUUCACUGGGUGGGUGAGCAUUGAUCGCCCUUUGAUUAACAUAUCUCAAGGAUCAGGGCAGUAGACGUCAGCUGGGGGUGACCGUGUCGUGUUUCCCCACACUGACUCAGAGGGCUCUGCUCAUGGAACGUGAAACAUGACAGUUUAGUAGAAUUGCAUGGUGGGGGUGAAAACUCCCAGGGGUUUGCACGUUGGAUCUAUUCUAAGUCUGUGUUCUUUUGCGGUGGCUUUGGGGGGUAACUCAGACCAACCUUUCCACCAGAGUUUUAAUUAUGCAUAAUCACCAGCGGGCUUUGUUCUGGGCUAUCACUUUCAUCUGAAGCUCAAAGAGCUCAAACAUCAUUAACUCAUUAAACCUUGCAACACCCCUGGGAGGCGAGGCGAUUAACCCAUUUUCCAGAUGGGGACAUAGAGGCACAGAGGGUGUCAGUAACUGUCCUAAUGUUACAUGAAUCAGAGUUAGGUAGACAACAGAACCCACUCAUGUUCCACCCCCAGUCUGCUUCUCAGAGCCUUCCUUCCCCCAUCACAGAAAUAGUCACCCUCAGACCCUGGGAAUCAUUCUCUGCCUGGCUGUGUGCAGUGUUGAGCAAUAUUCAGGACAUCAUACCGAAAUCAAUGCCAAGAUUAAAAAAAAAACACCUAUACCUUUCAAGGGAAACGGUUGUGAUGAUAAUCACUGAAAUAAAACGGAGUCUCCCAAAGACCUUGGCAUCUUCUCGUAGAGGGCCCUUAAAACUUUUCCUACAUUAAACCAGGAAAUUCCACUUGGCCAAGCAGAAAUGAAACUUGGACUUUACAAGUCUCAGAACUCCGUCUAAAUGGAGGCACACUCAUGUUUGUCUUUUAAGUUUGACAAACGACCGUUUCUCCUUGGCUUCACUUCAGUGCGAGCGGUCUUCAAGUGAACAUCGCUGCUGGUUUGUUGUGGAGUUUAGGGCCAGGGCCUUGGCGUGAUGGGGGAUGGGAGUCAAAGGGUGUUCCUGUUUAUGGCGGUGGAACGACUAAAAGCCUGACACCCGGGGUCAGAGGGCAGCGAAGCAGUAUCCAGAGAGAAGUCGUGAGUCUUCCUGUGCCUUCUCUUUCAUUUUAUGAUGUUUAUUUCACAAACGUUUGCGUGUAGCUACUGGCUAGGUGCGAAGCAGCCCUGAGGUGACCAAUAUGGAAUGACCGUCCUUCAGUAAUGUGUCAUCAAUGGGCCAAGCAUGGGACUAGUUAGAAAGAGCAGCUAUCACUUGUGGAAAUAUUCCCUAGGUGUAGUCAGGGUGAUUGGCUUGCAUGCAUACUAAACUCUUCCAAAAGGUAGGUUUUGGGCAUUGGAGGCAAGUCUGAAGGAGGGAAGGGUUUCAUGACUAAACUUCAAGGGUUGUCUGUUUGGAGAAACCUUUCACAUUGAUGCGAUUGAUCUCCAGCAGCAGAACCGAUAUUGUUUGCAGUAUGUAUGAGCAAAUUAUUCUUGGCUGGAAUACACAGAUAUAUCAGAAAUGGGGCUGGUCUUCGAGCAAAUUAUAACGUGUUACAAAAAGCAGGAUAAACUUAAAAGGACACGUAGUAAUAUAGUUUGACAUGCAGUUAUUACCACUUAAACAUGCACAGUAAGGAAAACAGAAAUCCAGAGGAAAGGGGACGGUAAGUUAGAAUUCUAGAGUUGAGCACAAUUCUGGGAGAAACAGAAAUCAACUUGGGCCUCCUGCUUUGGGCUAUAUUCUGUUACUGUGACAAAAUAUAACAAACUGGGUAACUUGAUAAAGAAGAGAGAUGCAUUUCUCUCAGCUCUGGGGGCUAGGAAAUCUAAACUAAUAUAGCAUUAGUGUGGGCCCGAUUUCUCUGUCAUAAAAUGAUGACAAGAGACACAGAGUGUGCCCACUGGUGCCUUCAUCUUUGCCUUACAAAGUCAUGGACCCCAUCAUGGAAGCCUUCUCUAUACCUACUGGUAGUUAUCUAAUUCAAUGCCUUUUGAGAAAUGACAAUCUUUUCAUCUUUUAAUUAAAUUAUGCAAAAAAUCAAUUAUUGGGCAUAUGUGGACUUUUUUUUAGAGCUCUUGAUCAAGUUGACAUUAUUAUGUUCAUCUUAUACUAAUGCCAUGUUAUUUUGAUGAGUGUAGCUUUGUAAUAAGUUUGGAAAUUGGGACAUGUGAGUUCUCCAUCUUGGUUCUCUGCCUUCCCACCACCAAGAUUGUUUUGACCAUUCUAGGUCCCUUUGACUUCCCAUGUGAACUUUUGAAUCAUCUUACCACAGACAAUUCUGCGAAGAAACGAGCUAUCUGGGAGUAGGGAUUACAAAGAAGCUGUAGAUCAUUCAGGGAAGACUUUCCAUACCAACGAUAGUUUUAAGUCUUCCAGUCUGUGAACAAAGCCUUAUUAUUAAUUUAUCUUUAAUUAGUGACUUUAACCGUAACUGUCUGAGUAAAAGUUGUAUAGUUACUUUCUUAGAUUUAUUUCUAAGCAUUUUGUUUUUGUUGGUGCUCUUGUAAGUAGAAUUCUUUUUGAAAAAACAAACAAACCAGUUUGCUAUGGAAGUCAGAGGACAACCUACAAGAGUAAUUUCUCGUUUUCUAUCAUGUGGAUCCUGAAGAAUGAGCUCAAGUCAUCAGCCUGACAACAAUUGUUUUACUUACUGACCUGGGCCAUUCCUUUCUUAAUUUCCUUUCGUAGUUUGUGUCCUACAGACACAAUUGGCUUUUUAAAAUAUCAUAUUUUGAAUAUCCUAAAGACUUACUAACUCCUUAGAACUCAUUUAUUAGUUCUAAUGGGAAUUUUUAAAACAUGGGAUCUCUCAGGAUUUCUAUGCCAGGCCAAGACAUCUGGGAAUCGAAGCAAUUGCACUUCUUCUAGUCUGCUCUGUUUCGGAGGCUAUGCCACUGCUAUUGUGAAUGGACGGUAUUAGUCUUGAACCUAGGGAUCUGAGGUUCCAUGCAUGCUAGACCAGUUCUCAGCUACUGUCCUCCUCCCCUAGACCGCAGUCCAACACGACUGCUUUUACUUCAGUGUUUGUCUAAUUGCUCUAGCUAGGAAUCACGGUAUCUUGAGAGAUGUUGUGGUCUACAGUGAAAAGCUCUAUGCCCCUCCCAAGCUAUCUGCUGCUAAUGUGACUGAUGAACGUGCUAAGCUAUGACCCUGGCACCAACUGCUAGACUGUUGAGGUGUGUGAAGGGGAGAAUGGGAGGGCGAAGAGGGAAGAAUGAAAGGAGAAAGGACUGAAGUGGCAGGGAAGAGGAUGAGAAGGUGGAAUGCAAACAAGGAAGCUGUCAGCUCUUACGUGUGGUGCCCCUGCUACUACGGUAAGAGCUUAGGUGUUCCAGCUCCUCGCACGGCCAUGGUGGUGUGACAGAGUAAAAGUGUCUUAGUCGAUGCUCUGUUGCUGUGAGGAGAUACAGCGAGCAAGGCAACUCUUAUGAAAGAAGGCAUUUAACUGCGGGCAUUGCUCAGAGUUUCAGUUAUUGAGGCCAUCAUUAUCAUGAUGGUUUGUGACGCAGGCAGGUGCUGGAGCAGUCGCUGAGGGCUACAUCCUGAUACACAGGCAGGGAGAAGGAGCCUCUAGGCUUGGCAUGGGCCUUUGAGACCUCAAAGCCCACCCCCAGUGACACACUUCCUUCAACAAGGCCACACCUCCUGAUCCUUCUAAUCCUUUCAAAUAGCAUUGCUAAGUAUUAAAAUAAACGAGCCCAUGGGGGCCAUCCUUAUUCACCAUAUAAGGCUUUCAUCCCCUUUAUGCUGUCAGAGGUGUUUAUCUCCCUAAUUCAGGAUAGGCCCUGCUUUGGUCAGCGUACAAAUAAACUCAUUUGUUUUAACACUUCAUCUCUGAUUGGUGGCAUUGUUUUAAAAAGGUUGUAGAACUUUUAGAAGGUGGAGCUUUGCUGCAGGAAUUAGGUCACUGGGGCUAGGACUUGAUGUUUCAUAAUCCAGCCGGACAUUCUGUCUGCUCUCUUCUUCUUAACCACCUACUGUGCUCUCCUUAGCUCCAUGAGUUCCCCACCACAGUGACAAUGGUCCCUCAAGCUUUGGGCGGAAAGUAACAUCCUUCAUCCCUAAAGUGGCCUCUUGUCAGGUAUUUGGUCACAGCCACAAGAAAGGUAACUUCUUCAGGCAGCAUCAGAGAAAAUGCACAGUAAGCCAUGUAAUGUAAAGUCCCACAUAGAAAGUGGUGACACCGGUUUGUCAAUGGGCCUUUGGAAAUGACAUUGAACACAUCACUGCUUGGUUUCCCUGGUUUCUUGUGAGGGCCCAAGUGGAAUGAGGUGUAGGAGUAUAGAUGUAAGUAAGGAGCAAGAGCUCAUUUCAAGUCCCCCCACCCCCAGUGUUGUGGUGUGGUGAGGCCAUAGCUGCUGACUUGGGAUGGAUUUGUUAGUCCCUGAGUGAGCGUGCUUAUUUUAACUUGGAUGAACUGAGGCCAGUUGUAUCCUGGCAUGUGAAAGAAGCAAGAUUCUUCAGAGGGUUUGAGGUUUAAGUGAGUAUCCUUGAGGUAUAUGACUUCUAAAGAAAAUUCAUCAGCAAAUGAACGUGUCUGGAUGCAGGCAGCAUGAGGCUGUAGACCGUGUUACCUCUGGAAUAACAAAAGGCGAGAAGGACCCUUAAGGAAAUAGGCUGGCUCAGAAUUAUGAAUCACGGAGCCCGUUUCUUACAGUGAUUAAUGAUGAAUCACUCUUUUAACUUUGGAUGGAAUAAUGGGCUGCAUCUGAGGAGCUCCAUUAAUCAUCGUGAGAAUUAGGCUUCUGCCGAUUCAUUACUGCAGGGCCGACAUGUGCUAAACAGUUGAGCUGGAUUCCAGGAAGGGUGAACUUUAGGCGAGGGCUGGCUUGAAGAGUGCAAACAUCAGGAGUCUUUUCUCGCUGCUGGGUGGUGUUGAGUGGAGAGGAUAUCUCCUUAUGCCACCAUCCCUCCUCUGCACCCCUUCCAGAGGCAACAGAACACCAACAACUAAGUCCUCAGGCUUUUUAUCCAGGGUCAGGACACAGCAGACAAAAUUGACACAUAUCGUAAAGUCUGAUACUUUUAUUCGUCUCUUGCUUUGCAUAAAGUCAGGCAUGAAUGCCAGCAAAAUCAGUUUAUCAUCCUUCUUGCAGAACAAAAUCAUCCCUGCGAAUUUUCUUCUUUUCCGAAGAUGUCUUAUAUAGAUAAUAAAAACCCAGGCUGCAGGCAACAGAAGGGAGAAACCUGGACCAUAUAAAAGGAAGUCAGAUUGGAUUCCUCGUUUGGCCAACUUCAAAGCCUCUGAGCUGAAAAGAGGGUUAAACAGUUGUUCCGACAGAUUUAAACUGAGGCACUUCAAAGGGACGGGCAGUGUGCACAGCUCUUUGGCGUUGGGAGGAAGUGAUGGGAAACCCUAGGGAAUGUCAUGUAGUCCUUGACUCAAGUAGAUGUGAUUGUCAUAGAAGAAAAGCCACACCUAGAUUACAAAGGACUCACGUUGCUUAAUGUCGUUAGCUCCAGCCGUCUUGCUGAGUCAUGAUGUCCAUUCUAGUCACCAUCUGGACACUUACCUCGCCCCACAGAAUACAGUUUUUAAAUGAGGUUUUUUUUUAAGAUUAGAUAAAGCUUUAAUUUUUUUUGUACUAAAAGAAUAGUUGUAAUAGAUUUAAGAGGUACACACGCUUUUGCCAGCACUUAUGGGAAGGAAUGACGAACAGCUUGCAUCUACAGAGCAGCCCUGUGUAGUUUAUGCCUACCCAUAGGUUUCCCAGACAGAUGCUGUCAUGGGUCUUCAGUGGCUUCCUGGCUGACUUUUCUGUCCUCAGUCCUUUCUCUCUCAGCCCAUUUUUCAUAUCUGACAGAAAGGACUCCUUAAGGCAGAAGAUGUGUCUGAAUCCUGCCUGAAUGGAGACCCUAGUGAGGUGACGAUCCCAAGCAUUUAGGCAGUCGGAGUGGAGGAGGGGACCAAGGUGACCAUGUGCAGUCUCAUACACUGACCCCUUUGCCAGAGAAUGCAACUUGCAAGUGACCAACUGAAACAUGCCUCAAGGCGUAUCUAAAAGUAUAUUUUGCAAGGUGUGCCAGCAUAUGCCCUCCCUCCCCGGUCUAAAACACUUCAUGUUGAACUUUUAAGUUGUAUCUGAAGUGUGAGUUUAUUCAAGGAAAAAAAAAUCUCAUUAGGAUUCUUUAAGCAUCUAUGAGAAGGAUAUAAGAGCAAGGUAUCAGUUUAUUAUAUGCCAGAGGAUGCACACAAACACACAGCCAUCCACAUCGUCAGACAAAUAACAAUAACACUAUGAAGAUGAGGAGAAAGCAUCAUAGACAUAGUGUUCUCUUCCUCUUUCCUCAGGUAGGUGUCUAUUCAGUAAGAAGGGAUUCUAUGCAGUUCCAGUAGGGUCUCUUAGUGGUGAACACUGUUUGGAAAUGUAUGGUUCUUUAUUUUAUGGGAAAGCGUUAAGCUUUCAGUGACACCUCAAUAAAAAUAUAUUGCUAUUUUUAAAAAAGUAUUUACAAAUUCUUAGAUUGUAAUACAAUUAUAUUAUUUCCCCUACCUUCUCCGAUCUUCAAAUCCUUCCAUACACACACCCCAUCCACUUUCUGUCAAAUUCAUGGCCUUUUUUUUUCUUUAGUUGCUGUUGUUGUUGUGUAUAUUCCUAAAUGUAUA
rnacentral:sRNA from 1 species